UACGAAGGGGGCUAGCGUUGUUCGGAAUUACUGGGCGUAAAGCGCGCGCAGGCGGUCUUCCAAGUCAGUGGUGAAAGCCCGGAGCUCAACUCCGGAACUGCCAUUGAAACUGUUAGACUUGAGGAUGAGAGAGGUGAGUGGAAUUCCCAGUGUAGAGGUGAAAUGCGUAGAUAUCGGGAGGAACACCUGUGGCGAAAGCGGCGCACUGGACCAUAACUGACGCUGAUGCGCGAAAGCUAGGGGAGCAAACAGG
rnacentral:rRNA from 1 species